UACGGAGGGGGCAAGCGUUAUUCGGAUUUACUGGGCGUAAAGGGUGCGUAGGCGGUUGUGCAAGUCUGGUGUGAAAUCUUCACCGCUCAACGGGAAGAGGCCGCUGGAAACUGCAUAACUUGAGUAUGGUAGAGGCAACCGGAAUUCCUGGUGUAGCGGUGGAAUGUGUAGAUAUCAGGAAGAACAUCUGUGGCGAAGGCGGGUUGCUGGGCCAUUACUGACGCUGAGGCACGAAAGCGUGGGUAGCGAACGGG
rnacentral:misc_RNA from 1 species